GCUACUCCUCCACUGUCUACACGCAAGCACAAGCACGAACGCAAGCUCCCGGCGUUUCCCCAGAUUGAGCACUGUGGUUGGCUGUCUGGUUGUCGUAACACAGGAGACAUCAAUUGGACGAUCGGGACACCAUGGGCAUCAAAUUCUUGGAAGUGAUCAAGCCAUUCUGCGCAGUUUUGCCAGAAAUCCAAAAACCUGAAAGAAAGAUCCAGUUCAGAGAGAAAGUUCUAUGGACAGCCAUCACUCUCUUCAUCUUCCUCGUCUGCUGCCAAGUGAGUUUACUU